rnacentral:misc_RNA from 1 species
UGUCUCUGACAGAUGCU